UACGUAGGGUGCGAGCGUUGUCCGGAAUUAUUGGGCGUAAAGAGCUCGUAGGCGGUCUGUCGCGUCGGUCGUGAAAACUUGGGGCUUAACCCUGAGCUUGCGGUCGAUACGGGCAUGACUGGAGUUCGGCAGGGGAGACUGGAAUUCCUGGUGUAGCGGUGAAAUGCGCAGAUAUCAGGAGGAACACCGGUGGCGAAGGCGGGUCUCUGGGCCGAUACUGACGCUGAGGAGCGAAAGCGUGGGGAGCAAACCGG
rnacentral:rRNA from 1 species